rnacentral:rRNA from 1 species
CCCCUACGGGAGGCAGCAGUGGGGAAUCUUGCACAAUGGACGAAAGUCUGAUGCAGCAAUUUCGCGUGAAGGAUGAAGCAUUACGGUGUGUAAACUUCUUUUAUACGGGAAUAACAAGAGUCACGUGUGGCUCCCUGCAUGUACCGUAUGAAUAAGCAUCGGCUAACUCCGUGCCAGCAGCCGCGGUAAUGGGG